GAUUAGUAUAAACGAGUGGCAAACGGAUGACUAGGAUGUUAUAAUUUGAGGACGUUAUAAAUACGAAAGAUGGGCAGAGAAGGUAUGAAAGCCCAUUUUCCAUAAGUAAACCUAAAUUCUAAACCCUAGGAAUUGAAACAUCUUAGUACUAGGAGGAAAAGAAAUCAAGCGAGAUUCCGUGAGUAGUGGCGAGCGAAAGCGGAUAUAGACUAUGGAAUCCCGCCUUUAGGGGCGGGGUUGAAAUUGAAAACCAAAGAGGGUAACAGGCCCCGUAGAUAAAAUCGAUGAUUCCGUAAGUUCUUGGAGUAGAACUAUUUGAAGAAAGGUGCUCCAUAUAUCUAAAACUAAAUAUUAUAACAUACCGAUAGUGAAUUAGUACUGUGAAGGAAAGUUGAAAGAGAUAAUAGUGAAAUAGAGCCUGAAAUUUGCCAUCUCACAAGCAGACGAAAUUCGUUGUACCUUUUGUAUAAUGGGUUCGCAAGAUAAAUAUUUGGCAAACUUAAGUUAAUAGACGUAGGUGUAGUGAAAACGAGUUUUAAUAGAGCGUUAGUCAAAUAGAGCCCGAAACCAAGUGAUCUAGCCAUGGGCAGUUUGAAACCCGUUUAAUAGCGGGCGGAGGAACGAACCGGUGAUUGUGGCAAAAAUCUCGGAUGACCUGUGGUUAGGGGUGAAAAGCCAAUCGAACUUGAAAUAGCUGGUUUUCUGCGAAACUAUUUGAAGUAGUGCGUCAUAUGGCGGGAAUAUCCUGGAGCGCACCUACAGCUUACUGUAGGUGCGCCGUCCUCGGAUAUCAGUAUAUUCUUACACAGUAAAGCACUGAAUGGGUUUAGGGGUUAGGCCUACUAAAUUCAACCAAACUAUGAAGGUGUAAGGAGAAAAUAUGAUAGACAGACAGUGGGCGAGAAGGUCCAUUGUCAAGAAGGAAACAACCUAGAUCAGAAGUUAAGGUCAUAAAUAUAAUCUAAGUGUAAAAGGGAAUUUUUAAAUUAAGACAAUGAGAAAGUAGGCUUGGAACCAGCCAUCUUUGAAAGAUUACGUAACAGUUCACUCAAUAAAUUUAUAGAUCCCAAAAAUUAUGGUGGCUUAAGCUUGGCAGCAAGUUAAACCGAAACUCUGAAUAAAUACCAUAAGGGGCUAGUGAGGCUAUAGCCUCACUAGCCCCGGUGGCUUAUAGUGGUAGCAGAACGUACUGUAAAUAAUAACCAUAGGCUAGGCGGUGACGCCUGCCGAUGGUUGGUUAUUGCGAAAGCGUUUAUCAGGAGUGAUAAUGCGAACAUGAGUAAAAAACAGUGUGAGGAUCACUGCUCACGGCCCAAGGUUUCCAAUCAUAGGAUUAUCCGGAUUGGGUUAUACAGUCCCUAAGAGGGCUUCAUAGUAUUCGGCACCGACGGUAUCAGGCUCCAUAGGAGCCUGUGCCUCGGUGCUAUUUCGAUGGGAGUAUUUAAUAACAAGUGUCUAAGAUAUUAUAAGAAAUUAUUCAGGGUCUAUUAAGACCCUAGGCUGUACUAAAACUAACACAAGUGGGCAUAAAAGUGAUGGUAUAAUUUAUCUUAAGGAACUCGGCAAAAUGUCCCUGUAAGUUCGCAAGAAGGGGAGCCAGCUAUAGACAGAGGUAACCUGUGCCGGAUAUCCGGGACUAGGUUAUCUAAUUUGACUGGCCUCAGAAAAGAGGGGGUGUCGACUGUUUACCAAAACAUAGCUUCCAGCAAAGGGCCAAGGGCCUGAAGUAUUGGAGGUGAGGCCUGCCCAAUGGUUGUAUCUAAAACCAAGUAAUAAAAAAAGUUAGCUUGGGUAAGGACAAUUGAAUGGCCGCGGUAAAUCUGACCGUGAUAAUGUAGCGCAAUCAAUAGCCAAUUAAUUGUUGGCAAGUAUGAAUGGCUUAACGAAUGCCCCGCUGUCUCAAGAUAAAAACCAAUGAAAUUGAAUUCGUAGUGAAGAUGCUACGUAUAAAUUGUUAGACGAGAAGACCCCAUUGAGCUUUACUGGAGACUUAUAUGGUUCUUUACCAAUUAAUUGUGUAGACUAUGUGGGUAAACCCUCGCGUAUGCCGGGCUGCAGCACCUACGGUGCCGUGCCGCAUGGGGUUAUAAUGAAAAACCACUCUUUAAUUAUAAAAAGAACUAAAAUAAUGGAAAGGUAUAUGUCAGACAGUUUGGUUGGGGCGACCGCCUUCUAAAGAGUAACGAAGGCGUACAUAAGGUUAAUAAUAUAAUAGUAUAAAGUUUAAAGCCUGACAGUAAGGAGGACGUCCGAGCUGACACGCCGUAGGCAGCUGCCUAUUCCGUGGGUUAUAAUGACCCGUUAGCUUAGAAUGGGAUAGCUAACGAGCAACGAAUAAAAGUUACCAUGGGGAUAACAGCGUAAUAUCGUUUGAGAGUUCAUAUCGACGACGAUGUUUGCGACCUCGAUGUUGAAUUGCGGGAUCCUGGAGGUGCAGCCGCUUCCAAGGGUUGGACUGUUCGUCCAUUAAAGCCGUACAUGAUUUGAGUUCAGACCGGCGUGAGCCAGGUCGGUUUCUAUCUACAAUUUAUGUAGGAAACAUUAGAUAUAACUAUAUUCUAGUACGAAAGGACCGAAUGAUUAGUUAUCCGCUGGUGAACCAAUUGUAGUUAAUCAAGGUCGAUGGCGGCCGACUCUGUCGGCGGCCGCCUGAAGUAUUACUGUUGGGUGGCUACGAUAAUUAAAAUAAUCACUGAAUGCAUCUCAAGUGAGAAGUUAAAUAUCAUUCUAUGUUUCCAAUAUAUAGACUGUUUGAGAAUAAAACGUGGAUAGGAUCUGUGUUUACCUGCAAGCUAAAGAUUACUAAUGGUCUAAUUUACUAAUCAU
rnacentral:rRNA from 1 species